UUAGCGCUCACUCCAGGCCGCAGACUCCGACCGGAACUGACAGCGCAGCCUCCGGGAUUGAAACCAUCCCUGGCUUGAAGUACCCUAAGGAGAUUUGCUAGUUGGAGUCCUGGGAGAUGAGAUGGGGAAGAUGGGCUCAAGCUGCAACAUGAAGGUCCAUGAUGAGCAGCUGGCAUCUCCUACAGUGCCUUCCACUUGGCUCAGAGCCAUGAGAAAUUUGCCUCGAGUCUUAGAUGAGACAUUGGACUUUGGACUUUUAGGUUGAUGCUAGAACAAGGCUCCACUUUGCAUUGCACCAUUAGUGGAAGCUUCCUGUGGCCCUCACCAGAAGCAAAUACUGGUGCCGUACUUCCUGCACAGCCUGAAGAACCAUGGCCAAAUAAACCUCUUUUCUUUAUAAAUUAUCUAGCCUCAGAUAUUCCUUUAUAGCAACAUGAAGAAAACUAAGGCAUUACAUAAGGUUUGUUAUUCAUUAUAGAACUCUUUUUUUAUAUUGGUUGAUACAUCAAAUGGAGUGAAAACAUCAACUGAAAUAGGAAUAGACUUCCUAUAUUAUU